rnacentral:lncRNA from 1 species
UUUUUUUUUUUUUUUUUUAUCAUUGUUAAAUGAACUAUCUAUAUUCUACUCAAUGGUGGAAAAAUCAUGAAGUUUCCGGUUAUGAGGUUGGCGUGGACAAUUGAGUCGGAUUUAGUCGAUUAGGAAAAUAAUUGCUCGAGCACUUUGUUGGCACGAGAUGCAAAGAAAGUUUCUAAACGUACAAGGCCACAUUGGUCAUCCUCAUCUAAGAGCUUGAGAUCUACAAAUAUAUUUAUUUUAUGAAAGGCAUAACUUUUUUAAAUUCAAGAUAGAUGACAAUAUUUGAAUUUUACGGUUGCUUCAUCCUUUUAUUUCAUGCGCUUGGCAUAAAAUAAAAAACGCCAUUAAUUUUUUAUAUAUUGACAGAGUAUAUAUUGUCGAGAUUGGAUAUGCGAUAAAUAAUUAUAAUUUGAAUUUAAAAUUUAAAAUUUAUGUUUAUGUUAUGCAUCUAACCCUACUAGUGUAUAUUUGCUCCAUCUGAAUUAUGUUACUAUGUAUGUUGUCACUGAAUUUCUUCAUUUUUAUUCUAAAUCUUGUACGCUAAAAAGAAGGUUAAACCUAGUUAAUAUUUGAUUUUCACUAAUUUAACAUAAUCCAAUGUUUUGGGCCAAAAAAAAAAAAAAGAUAAUUAGGAUGAUUUCAUAAUCUCCCUUCCCGUGAUUAUAUACGUCCAUUGGAAAUGAUUAAUCCCAUGAUGAAGGACAAGUUAGACUAUUUAUCUUAUCAACUAUUCAAAAACAAACACAUAAUCCUCAAAAAGGAUUAUCAAAAAACAAACACAAAAUCAUCGAGAAACAUUAAUUAUUCUGGUCGAGUAGGAGAAAUACUGGAAAAGUAAAGUAAGGGUAAAUUUCUACAGUUUUCUUUUAAUUUUUUGGCUAUUGUAUAUGUCUAAACAACUAAAACACAAUGUGGAAUACCUUAGAAUUUUAACAAAUAUCCAAUUUAGUCCUACUUCAGUAAAUUGUAAUAUUUGUGAAAUAUAAGUGGUUUGAUCUGUCAGUUCAACUAAAAGCAGUUCAAUCUCGUGAUCCAGAUCAAGCCUCCAACAUAUGCCCAGGAGGCAAAAGUUUCAUUAAUUAAAAUUGAGUGAAAUUCCAUUAGUAACCCAAUUAAUAUUUUGAACAAUGCACAUUACAAACUAGUAAAAUCCACUUACCUAUGUUAUUUGGCUUAUUCUAUAUCUGCUUUAGUCAUUUCACAGAGAAUGCUUGAAGAAUAGUUUAUUCUUGAGCUAGGGGGCAUCAUAAGAGUUCGGGCCUGUUUGAUAACGCUACCUAAUGCUAGCCUUUUUUUUUUCCAAUAAAUUUUUACUUUUUUCAUGAACACAUUUUUCAAUCAUUUUUUUUAUUUCAUAUACAUCAAAUCGCUAUAAUAAAUUAUUUUACAAAAAUUCUAGAAAAUAGUAAUUCGAAGGUUCUCUAAAAGGAACCGAAAGCAAAAAAAAAGAAAAAGAAAAAAGAACUUUAAGAAGUUUCAAGCUGAACUCGAGAGCUUGAAAAAUAAAAAAUGGAAUAUCACUUCAUAACAAACAAUACCAAUUGACAUCAAAGGGAUUCUUCCUACAAAACUUGUAAGACUUCUUAUUCAACAAAUAAUCUCUACAAAAGCCAAGUACUGUUUAUCCACCGUCUUCACAACAUAUGAUAAACGGGACAUGCAACUGUUUUAUGUCCUUAUCG